CAGAUGGCUUAUCAGUUACGGCAUGUGUAUAGAAAAAAUGCAGACAGUUAAUGACUCGUAAGGAUGUAAAAAGAUAAAAAGGUACAUUUAUAUGUUGGUGAUAGUGAUGAAGAUGGGAUAUCCAACAAGUUACAGAGUUCUAAUGUGUUCACAAUUGCCAAACGUAAUGUGGAAGGCCAAGACAUGCUCUAUCAGUCAAUCAAGCUCACAAAUGGAAUUUGGGUUCUCACAGAACUUAAAGUUCAGCCUGGCAAUUCUACU